AGAGUUUGAUCCUGGCUCAGGACGAACGCUGGCGGCGCGCUUAACACAUGCAAGUCGAGCGAGAACCAGUCCUUCGGGACUGGGGACAGCGGCGAACGGGUGAGUAACACGUGGGUAAUCUGCCCUCGGCACCGGAAUAGCCCGGGGAAACCCGGAUUAAUGCCGGAUGGCCUCUCUGCCCUACGGGGCGGCGAGAAAAGGUAGCUUCGGCCUCCGGCCGAGGAUGAGCCCGCGGCCGAUUAGCUUGUUGGUGAGGUAACGGCUCACCAAGGCGACGACGCGUAGCCGGACUGAGAGGUUGGCCGGCCACAUCGGGACUGAGACACUGCCCGGACUCCUACGGGGGGCUGCAGUAACGAAUCUUCCCCAAUGCACGAAAGUGUGAGGGAGCGACGCCGCGUGUGGGACGAAGUCCUUCGGGAUGUAAACCACUGUCAGGGGAUACCAAGUUCUGAGGAUCCCCAGAGGAAGAGGCGGCUAACUCUGUGCCAGCAGCCGCGGUAAU
rnacentral:rRNA from 1 species